GCCUUCCUUAUUGAUGGGAGCUCCUCCGGAGCCAUAAGGCUGAAAAUGGGCCAUUUGGUUACAUCCACCAUGAUGUUCUCGCAUUGGCUAGUUAUGCCCCAGCUGCUGUCACUUAGUGAUGAGUCUUUCUACGAGGGGGAUAUUCCGUCUGACGGCUUCGGCAUGGCGUGCGGAAAGGUCGACGCCUCUGUAGGGUUUUUACUUUCUCUGCUGGAACAGA